UUGCGGUUAAAAAGCUCGUAGUUGGAUCUCGGCAGGCAGGGGGUGGUUCGCUCCUUAGACGCUACUGCCCCAUUUGCCUGUGUGAUUGGCAGAGGUUUCGGGGUGCCCUUUAUUGAGUGACCCGGAGCGCUGUCAGGUUUACUUUGAAAAAAUUAGAGUGCUCAAAGCAGGCUUUUCACGCUUGAAUAUUCGUGCAUGGAAUAAUAGAAUAGGAACUCGUUUCUAUUUUGCUGGUUUUCGGAAAUCGAGUUAAUGAUUAAUAGGGACAAUUGGGGGCAUUAGUAUUCAGACGACAGAGGUGAAAUUCUUGGACCGUCUGAAGACUAACCUACUGCGAAAGCAUUUGCCAAGAGUGUUUUCAUUAAUCAAGAACGAAAGUUAGAGGUUCGAAGGCGAUCAGAUACCG
rnacentral:rRNA from 1 species